rnacentral:lncRNA from 1 species
AUCCAAAAUCUUAGUUUGUGUAUGGUCUAGAUAUCACCAAGCACCCAAGUAUAAAUACGCCUUACAACUCCCUAAUGGAAACUUAAUAACUUCAACUUAAAUUGCAUACUAACCUAGGAUUUGGGCUGACUUAGUAAUUAAAACUUUGUGUGCUUUUGAAAUUCUUGGCACUUAUGCAUUUGAAAUUAGUUUUUAUAAAAUGAUAAAAUAAAUUCUUUUGGGUAGAGACAGCAGUUUGUGGGUAUCUGAGCCGGAAACCCUCACAAGACAAAACUCGUCCACUAGGGCCACCUAGGGGUUUAAAGCCUUAUUGCAUACGGUAAAUGCAAUCGCGAUUCCUGCGAAAGUGAGUUAGUUUUUUUUAUUUUGCUCGAGGACUAGCAAAAUGUAGGUUGGGGGGUGUGAUAAGUGCUAAAUAAUGCAUAAAUUAAUAUCUUAUUCAUAGCACUUAUCAUUAUUUUAAUUCACAUAUUUUGUAAAUUCAACUAAAAAAAUGUGUUACCUUCAUCACUGUAUUUUAAUAAAUUAUUAAAGGUA